UGCUUUGCAAGUCGUGUCCAACACCGCCUGGGUGACCCUAGACUAAUCAAACCUCAACUUACGUACAGCCAUCCCAGCAGCUACUGACUUUUGGUGCCGAUAUGUCGAUCGCGAAUAUAUUCACCGUCCUGUUAAUACUUUACUUUUCUUGUGGGGAGGCUUUGCCGAUUGAAGGCGAAUUGGAGCCCAUAGGUCGGGGUAGUCCGUCUGCGACUGCGCGGUGCCAUUGCUACCCACCACCCGAAAAUCCUCGGGAAUGCACCUUUGAUCCGUGCAACGUUAGUUUUUGUCCGGUUGGUCAAAAAUGCAGACCCUGUCCAUGCAAUUGCAAAAUUGGUGAAUGUGUGGCUAUAUAACUUAUCAUUGGCCAUUGGAGAUGGACCAUCAGAAGUCUCUUUACCGUUAAUACAACUAAAACCCAGAGAUAGAGAUGACUGUAACGAUAAGUGCAAAUAUAUCUCUUGAAUAAAGUUAGCAGUGUUCUUAGCCCGA